UACGAAGGGGGCUAGCGUUGCUCGGAAUUACUGGGCGUAAAGCGCACGUAGGCGGCUUCUUAAGUCGGUGGUGAAAUCCUGGAGCUCAACUCCAGAACUGCCUUCGAUACUGGGAAGCUCGAGUCCGGGAGAGGUGAGUGGAACUGCGAGUGUAGAGGUGAAAUUCGUAGAUAUGGGGAGGAACACCGGUGGCGAAGGCGGCCACCUGGACGGUAACUGACGCUGAGGCGCGAAAGCGUGGGUAGCAAACAGG
rnacentral:rRNA from 1 species